AGAGUUUGAUCCUGGCUCAGAUUGAACGCUGGCGGCAUGCCUUACACAUGCAAGUCGAACGGCAGCACGGGAGCUUGCUCCUGGUGGCGAGUGGCGAACGGGUGAGUAAUAUAUCGGAACGUGCCCUAGAGUGGGGGAUAACUAGUCGAAAGAUUAGCUAAUACCGCAUACGAUCUACGGAUGAAAGUGGGGGAUCGCAAGACCUCAUGCUCAUGGAGCGGCCGAUAUCUGAUUAGCUAGUUGGUGAGGUAAAGGCUCACCAAGGCGACGAUCAGUAGCUGGUCUGAGAGGACGACCAGCCACACUGGAACUGAGACACGGUCCAGACUCCUACGGGAGGCAGCAGUGGGGAAUUUUGGACAAUGGGCGCAAGCCUGAUCCAGCAAUGCCGCGUGAGUGAAGAAGGCCUUCGGGUUGUAAAGCUCUUUUGUCAGGGAAGAAACGGUUCUGGUCAAUACCUGGGGCUAAUGACGGUACCUGAAGAAUAAGCACCGGCUAACUACGUGCCAGCAGCCGCGGUAAUACGUAGGGUGCAAGCGUUAAUCGGAAUUACUGGGCGUAAAGCGUGCGCAGGCGGUUGUGCAAGACAGAUGUGAAAUCCCCGGGCUCAACCUGGGAAUUGCAUUUGUGACUGCACGGCUAGAGUGUGUCAGAGGGGGGUAGAAUUCCACGUGUAGCAGUGAAAUGCGUAGAUAUGUGGAGGAAUACCGAUGGCGAAGGCAGCCCCCUGGGAUAACACUGACGCUCAUGCACGAAAGCGUGGGGAGCGAACAGGAUUAGAUACCCUGGUAGUCCACGCCCUAAACGAUGUCUACUAGUUGUCGGGUCUUAAUUGACUUGGUAACGCAGCUAACGCGUGAAGUAGACCGCCUGGGGAGUACGGUCGCAAGAUUAAAACUCAAAGGAAUUGACGGGGACCCGCACAAGCGGUGGAUGAUGUGGAUUAAUUCGAUGCAACGCGAAAAACCUUACCUACCCUUGACAUGUACGGAAUCCUGAAGAGAUUUAGGAGUGCUCGAAAGAGAACCGUAACACAGGUGCUGCAUGGCUGUCGUCAGCUCGUGUCGUGAGAUGUUGGGUUAAGUCCCGCAACGAGCGCAACCCUUGUCAUUAGUUGCUACGAAAGGGCACUCUAAUGAGACUGCCGGUGACAAACCGGAGGAAGGUGGGGAUGACGUCAAGUCCUCAUGGCCCUUAUGGGUAGGGCUUCACACGUCAUACAAUGGUACAUACAGAGGGCCGCCAACCCGCGAGGGGGAGCUAAUCCCAGAAAGUGUAUCGUAGUCCGGAUUGGAGUCUGCAACUCGACUCCAUGAAGUUGGAAUCGCUAGUAAUCGCGGAUCAGCAUGUCGCGGUGAAUACGUUCCCGGGUCUUGUACACACCGCCCGUCACACCAUGGGAGCGGGUUCUGCCAGAAGUAGUUAGCCUAACCGUAAGGA
rnacentral:rRNA from 1 species